rnacentral:rRNA from 1 species
CCUACGGGCGGCUGCAGUGGGGAAUUUUGGACAAUGGGCGCAAGCCUGAUCCAGCCAUGCCGCGUGCGGGAAGAAGGCCUUCGGGUUGUAAACCGCUUUUGUCAGGGAAGAAAUCUUCUGAGUUAAUACCUCGGGAGGAUGACGGUACCUGAAGAAUAAGCACCGGCUAACUACGUGCCAGCAGCCGCGGUAAUACGUAGGGUGCGAGCGUUAAUCGGAAUUACUGGGCGUGAAACGUAAGCCGGCGGUGAAAUCCCCGGGCUCAACCUGGGAACUGCAUUUGUGACUGCAUAGCUGGAGUGCGGCAGAGGGGGAUGGAAUUUCGCGUGUAGCAGUGAAAUGCGUAGAUAUGCGGAGGAACACCGAUGGCGAAGGCAAUCCCCUGGGCCUGCACUGACGCUCAUGCACGAAAGCGUGGGGAGCAAACAGGAUUAGAUACCCCGGUAGUC